AUGUUUGCUGACAGGUGCUGUAGUAAUCAGCAACCAGUGCGCCCCCUGCUGUUGGAAAGAAGAUAUAGCCGACUGUUCUUCACUGCCCCAAAUCAAGAUCUCAGGACUUCCGUGUUUGCGUGUAGACACCCUUCCCCAGCCUCAUUCUCCAUCAGGACCCUUAAACAUCAGAGAUUCCUGGUGCUGGUGCCUGGUCGGUGUGGCCAUCUAGUGACCAGAGAGGAAACUGCAGCGAUGGGCGCCGCUUACAGCAAUGAGGUCAUCCAUCUCCUUUUCCCAGAGCUCAGGUUUCUCCGCAGAAGGAGGGAUUCCAGCUGUGCCGCAGGAUCCUUGGAAAAGAUACUUUGAAAUUAAAGAAAAUUGGAAGCGCUCCCUUAAAGCCAACUUCUUCAUGCAUUUAUGCCACUGGAAAGUAUUUGGUGCGGGUAGACAGAGCCCCUUCAUGCGUGGAGCUUGGUAAACUUAAACCUCUGCCAGGAACUCUUGUACAGUGACCGACCUGCACUGCCUUGCCUGAAGCCCUAGUACUGCAACAAUCUUCCUCUUAGAAUUUCCAUAGCCACUCCCACCCCCUCCACAAACCUAUAUUCCUAAAAGAGGGACACAAAGGACACUCCGCCCUCAUAGGUUUAUGCUGCUCUUGCAGAUGCAGUUCCAUGAGAAUUUCCGUUUUCAACAAGCACUAUCAAUUUUAGCUUUCUGUGUGGGUGGGAUGGUUCAUUGGGUAAAGGCUCUUGCAGCCAAGCCUGACCACCCGAGUUUGAUCCCCCAAACCCGUAUAACAGAAGAACCCAAUCCCGCCUACACAUACAUGCCCUCCCCUACACAUAAUGAAUGCAUAAAUGGAAUCAAUUUUUUUUUUUUUUGAUUUUCGAGACAGUGUUUCUCUGUGUAGCUUUGGAGCCUAUGCUGGCACUCACUCUGGAGACCAGGCUGGCCUCGAACUCACAGAGAUCCGCCUGCCUCUGCCUCCCUAGUGCUGGGUUUAAAGGCAUGUGCCACCAACGCCCGGCUUGGAAUUGACUUUUAAAAUAUAGCUUUCUAUCCUAGGUGUUGACGGUUUCCUUCAGAUGAUAUGGAUGUGAAGCCUGGAAACUACCAGUGCUGUGUUUGGGAAGAAAAAAAGCAAUUGCACAGCUUCUCACUAUAGACUUCAGUGUGGAGCUGGACAAAUCAGAAGUGUAGAAAAUGUCACACUUUAAAGCCAUGGACAAACACUUCAGAACGGACAGGGAGGGUGUGUUCGCUUGGUGACAUUUCUAAAGCACCUGGUAUUCGUGGAUGGAUGCUCCCAGGCUAGGAGGGGACAGUGGAGACUGGAGCAAGGGUACCUCUGCCUGUGGCACCC
rnacentral:lncRNA from 1 species